rnacentral:lncRNA from 1 species
AUAGGUUUGUGGUUUAUUUUAUUCUAUUUGUGUGUUAAAUUUCAUUUGUGGAAUAAUUCCCUAAAUGGAAUUCGCCUAAUCAGGUAUAUACCAAAUCUGGCAUAUCAAGAACAAUCCCUGUUCUUGACAUGAGUAGUUCUGAUUCUGGUUGGAAUUUCUUUGCUGUUUUGUGGUGUUUUUUGCAUGCAUAGAUAUAAGUAUGAUA